rnacentral:rRNA from 1 species
ACCCCUGGCGGGGAGUGAAAGAGACCUGAACCCGUGUGCCUACAAGCGAUCGGAGCAUGGCCGGCGUUUUCGGACGCUGGGGUAUGUGACGGUAUGCCUUUUGUAAAAUGAGCCGGCGAGUUAUUGUGCGUAGCGAGGUUAAGGACUGCGAGGUCUGUAGCCGCAGGGAAACCGAGUCUGAACAGGGCGCAAGUUUCGUACAAUGGACCCGAAGCCCGACGAUCUAUCCAUGUCCAGGUUGAAGCCCCGGUGAAGCGGGGUGGAGGACCGAACCGAAGCCUGUUGAAAAAGUCUCGGAUGAGGUGUGGAUAGGAGUGAAAAGCUAAUCGAGUUGGGUGAUAGCUGGUUCUCCCCGAAAUGCAUUUAGGUGCAGCCCUGAAUGUUUAGUGAUGGGGGUAGAGCGCUGAAUGGACGCGGGCGGUUGUGACCGUACCAAAUCCAAUCAAACUGCGAAUACCAUUACUUAAGAGUUCAGGAGUGAGACUGCGGGAGAGAAGUUUCGUAGUCGAGAGGGAAAGAGCCCAGACCCACAGCUAAGGUCCCGAAGACAUGCUGAGUGUGGCAAGGAUGUGACGAUGCCUGGACAGCCAGGAGGUUGGCUUAGAAGCAGCCACCCUUUAAAGAGUGCGUAAUAGCUCACUGGUCGAGGAUUGUUGCGCCGAAAAUACCGGGGGCUAAGCAUGUCACCGAAGCUUGGGGAUUGGAUGUAAGUCCGAAUCGGUAGGGGAGCGUUCCAUGUAGGGAGAAGUCGAACCGGCGAGGUUCGGUGGACAGCAUGGAAGUGAGAAUGCCGGCAUGAGUAACGCGAAGUGUGUGAGAAUCACACUCACCGGAAGUCCAAGGGUUCCUGGGGAAGGUUGAUCCGCCCAGGGUAAGGCGGGGCCUAAGGUAAGGCCGAGAGGCGUAGCUGAUGGACAACAGGUUGCUAAUCCUGUCCCGCGAAGCGGUUGUUUGACGAUGGAGUGACGCAGGAAGCUAGGUGCGCCGGCGGAUGGAAGAGCCGGUCUAAGGGCGAAGCUUGGACGGGGAGGUAAAUCCCCCUGUUUAUAGGUGAGACCUGACGGGGAGUUGUCAGAGAUGGCGACGAAGGCAUUGACGCUCUACUGCCGGGAAAAGCUUCUAAGGAGACCGCCCGCGCCCGUACCCGAAACCGACACAGGUGGACUGGCUGAGAAGGCUAAGGUGAGCGGGAGAACUAUCGUUAAGGAACUCUGCAAGUUGACCCCGUAACCUAGGGAGAAGGGGUGCCACAGGGGUGAAGGAGUACAUCCGGAGCUUGAUGUGGUCGCAGAAACCAGGCACAGGCGACUGUUUACUAAAAACACAGGACUCUGCAUAAGGCGUAAGCCGAAGUAUAGGGUCUGACACCUGCCCGGUGCUGGAAGGUUAACUGGAGGGGUUAGUGCCGCGAGGUGCGAAGCUCUGAAAUGAAGCCCCAGUAAACGGCGGCCGUAACUAUAACGGUCCUAAGGUAGCGAAAUUCCUUGUCGGGUAAGUUCCGACCUGCACGAAAGGUGUAACGAUCUGUGCGCUGUCUCGACGGUAGACCCGGUGAAAUUGUGGUCCUGGUAAAGACGCCAGGUACCCGUGGUGGGACGGAAAGACCCCAUGGAGCUUUACUGUAACUUGGUAUUGGAUUUUGUCCUAUGAUGCACAGGAUAGGUGGGAGGCGUUGAGGCAGUCAUUUCGGUGAUUGAGGAGCCGUUGUUGGGAUACCACCCUUUGUAAGAUGAAAUUCUAACCCUUGAGCGUUGAAGCACGCGAGGGGACAUUGCCAGGCGGGCAGUUUGACUGGGGCGGUCGCCUCCCAAAGAGUAACGGAGGCGCGCAAAGGUCACCUCAGGGCGAAUGGAAACCGCCCUAAGAGAGCGUAAGCGUAUAAGGUGGCUUGACUGCGAGACUGACGAGUCGAGCAGGGACGAAAGUCGGUGCUAGUGAUCCGGUGGUUCCGAAUGGAAGGGCCAUCGCUCAACGGAUAAAAGCUACCCUGGGGAUAACAGGCUGAUCUCGCCCGAGAGUUCCUAUCGACGGCGUGGUUUGGCACCUCGAUGUCGGCUCAUCGCAUCCUGGGGCUGAAGCAGGUCCCAAGGGUUGGUCUGUUCGCCCAUUAAAGCGGUACGUGAGCUGGGUUUAGAACGUCGUGAGACAGUUCGGUCCCUAUCCACCAUGGGCGAGAGGUAUUUGAGGAGAGCUGUUCCUAGUACGAGAGGACCGGAAUGGACGAACCGCUGGUGUACCGGUUGUGGCGCCAGCUGCAUAAGCCGGGUAGCCAAGUUCGGGAAGGAUAACCGCUGAAAGCAUCUAAGUGGGAAGCCAACUUCGAGAUGAGAUACCUGACCUUGA